AUUGAACGCUGGCGGAAUGCUUUACACAUGCAAGUCGAGCGGCAGCGCGGGGCAACCUGGCGGCGAGCGGCGAACGGGUGAGUAAUGCAUCGGAACGUACCCAGUCGUGGGGGGUAACUGUCCGAAAGGACAGCUAAUACCGCAUACGUCCUGAGGGAGAAAGCGGGGGAUCGCAAGACCUCGCGCGAUUGGAGCGGCCGAUGCCGGAUUAACUAGUUGGUAGGGUAAAGGCCUACCAAGGCGACGAUCCGUAGCUGGUCUGAGAGGACGACCAGCCACACUGGAACUGAGACACGGUCCAGACUCCUACGGGAGGCAGCAGUGGGGAAUUUUGGACAAUGGGGGCAACCCUGAUCCAGCCAUUCCGCGUGAGUGAAGAAGGCCUCGGUUGUAAG
rnacentral:rRNA from 1 species